rnacentral:rRNA from 1 species
GUGGGGAAUAUUGGGCAAUGGGCGAAAGCCUGACCCAGCAACGCCGCGUGAGGGAAGAAGGCCUUCGGGUUGUAAACCUCUGUCCUUGGUGACGAAAAAAAUGACGGUAGCCAAGGAGGAAGCCCCGGCUAACUACGUGCCAGCAGCCGCGGUAAUACGUAGGGGGCGAGCGUUGUCCGGAAUUACUGGGCGUAAAGGGUGCGUAGGUGGCCUUUUAAGUUGGAUGUGAAAUACCCGGGCUUAACUUGGGGGGUGCAUCUAAUACUGGAGGGCUAGAGUGCAGGAGAGGGAAGCGGAAUUCCUAGUGUAGCGGUGAAAUGCGUAGAUAUUAGGAGGAACACCAGUGGCGAAGGCGGCUUUCUGGACUGUAACUGACACUGAGGUGCGAAAGCGUGGGGAGCAAACAGGAUUAGAAACCCGGGUAGUCC